AUAUAAAGGAACCUCUCUCUCAGAGUUUAUGAUGUUUUUCAUUUUAACACAAACAAAGGCAUAGGAAGAUCUGCUCCUUUUAGUCUCGAAUUUGGGUGUAAACAGCUUGGUGCCCAUUGUGCAGCCCGUCAAGCGACUGCGUCGCCAAAACCGGUUAAAAACAACCCUCAAUUUCUGUUUCAGAGGUGAGUUUAGCAUUUUGGAGUCAAUCAGAGAAACAAAGCUUGGGGCCAUAGCAAUGGAUUUGCGUCAUGCACAACGCAUUCUGCAUCGAUCUUUCCGCACUUCAUUGAAAUUUUUCUCAAAAGAUAAAAUACUGCAACACAGGUGCAGUCUUGCAAGAUGCAUUACAUGUCAUCUCCGAUGUGAAAUGUGUUGCUAGUGAUGCUAAUCAUGUCACACUCGCUUUACUUCCUGGGAAAUCUUUUAGGAAAUUGAGAAUUUUCUCCACAUACUAAAAAAAUAGUAAAAUUAUCAAAAAAAGAGUUAGAACCUUUUGAGGUCAACAAUACCCCUCACUCAAACUGCAUCUCCUAGCGAGUCACAAUUGACUCGAGGUGCAUAGCACCUGUCAUGGAUCAUGCUUAAUGCUCUGAUUUCCCUUUUGGAUGUGUAGUUGCUUGACGAAUACAAUGCCCUUACGUAUUACAUGUGCUCUAUUACAUAUUGCCACACACUUAGCACAAACAAAAAUUUUCACAUUUUUCGAAAACCUCGAAACCAGCGGUGAAGUCAAGAAAGGAACCUAACUCCUAGAAGGACAGUUAGGAGGAUGUGCCAUUAAAGGGAGCAUCCUUCUACUUAUUUCUAGCCUCUAGGAGCAACCCAUUUCGAUUAGGACCUCUUUGAUGCCCAUAGGGGUCGGCUGGUUCCUAACAAGAGCAUAUCGAUACUACAACCAUCUUUUUAACUACCCCGACCAUUGACCUUACACAACCUGAAUUAGGUCAACUUUUAAGUAUUCCAUUCGGUUCAUUGCUUAGUUAGUCACAAAUCAUGUGCCAAGACCAAGCUAGGAUGGGGUCAGGCUCAGGCCCUGAGGCUGCAGCCUUGUUCUGGUUUAGGUCUAAGAAAUCAAACUGUCAAUCAGGUGGGGAUUAUUCCUAUGCUCCUUGGUACUCCCCACGAUCACCAAUUUUGAAGCACAGACCAUCAAUUUUGCAGGGCUCGAAGAACCUUGUAUGGUCAAUGGAUUAGAUUAGAAAGAUCUGGGUAUCAUACCUCAACUUCAUCGUUGUGGUCAAGCCACGGUAGAGGUCUAACCCGUAGUUAACCUCAAACUGGUCAAACUAGGGGAACCCUGAUGACCAAGUAACUUAACCCACCAAACCUGGAACCUCCUACUAGGAGUAUGAUCCCAAGUAGAGCCUCUAGCAGCAAGUCUAGCCAACCAUUGAUUCAUGGAGGCCAUCCACCUCCACCUCCAACCAAUACUCCAGUCGAGGGAGGCCACCCCGCUGAACCUUUGGUAAACUCACUCCUUCAAGCCAUAUGUAUAACAUUAGACCUAGGUUGAGCUUCCAGGCCCAUCUACACCAUGUAGUCAUAGUCAUUCUAUGAGCCAAUCAUUGACACGGCCAAUAUAAGCCAACAAACCAAC
rnacentral:lncRNA from 1 species